rnacentral:rRNA from 1 species
UACGAAGGGAGCUAGCGUUGUUCGGAAUCACUGGGCGUAAAGCGCACGUAGGCGGAUGUGUCAGUCAGGGGUGAAAUCCCGGAGCUCAACUUCGGAACUGCCCUUGAUACAGCACGUCUUGAGUCCGGAAGAGGUGGGUGGAAUUCCUAGUGUAGAGGUGAAAUUCGUAGAUAUUCGGAAGAACACCAGUGGCGAAGGCGGCUCACUGGACCGGCAUUGACGCUGAGGUGCGAAAGCGUGGGGAGCAAACAGG